AAAAAAAAAAAAAAAAAGAAAGUUAAUGCUUUUUGUUGUGGAUAAAAAAUGAACCCUAAAAUCUGUAUUUUGUUGCUGCAGACUUUGAGGUUUUGAUAUUAAAGGUUGGGAUAUUUGGUUCAAAAUUAGAACGUUUGGAUAUAACUGCUAAUUUGCAAAAAUGUUUGCCCAUUUCUGUCCAUUUAGCCUUUUAAUGAUAUUAACAAAUAGAAGAAAAUGAUUAAAUUUCUUAUAAAAUGUUCUCUAUGCAAUUUCUUUUGUGGAUAUUUUCAGUGAAACAAACAAAACUCUAGCUAUUUAAGUUGUUCAUGUUUGAAAUAAGGCAUUUUGAGGAUUCAACUUUGUAAGUGUUUGGUUUAAAGUUUUUGUUAGGCAGUGGAAAAAAACUUUUCACCUAGCUGGAUCUUGACCAGGUGAUACGGAAAAUGUUUUAUGAAUGAUGUAUUAAAAUUUAAAAAACUAGCUAUUCAUAAAGAUUAUAACUUUUAAUUAGUUGCUGUCAUCUGUCUCUGACCAUGCUCUAUUCCAUUUUGCUAACUUUCUAUCAUACUAGUAGGCAUUGACUGAUUGGUGCCUGCAAAUCAUAAUGGUAGUGGAAUCAUCAGGAUUUUGAACUUCCUAUGCUGCAAUAAGCAAACGUGUAUUAAAUUUAGAAUUCCAUUUUUCUUAUCCCAUCAAUUAGGAAAUGUUUAACAAUGACAUUUUAUCCUCUUUGCAGGUUGCACAGAGACAUACGAGA
rnacentral:misc_RNA from 1 species